AGUCAUCAAAGUAGAGUAUAUUAAGGCUUUUGAUAAAAGACACAAGAGAUUUUGUGGUGUGUGAUUAGUGGCUUGAAUCACGAAUAAGUGACAAACGAGCAUCAUAAGAUUAAGGUCUAGCACACCUAUUAAGGGUUGUGCGCACGUGUCUAUACUGCAAUGAAUUGAUUCCCACAAGCCUUAUAGACGAAAUGAGGAUUUUGGGUUCGCCCUUAAUUCGGCUAGAUGGUGUAGCUGACGUGGGUUCGUCCUGGGGUCCCAUCUAGUUAACGAAUGAAUGAAUGAUUACUUCUCAAUGGUCGCCAAGGGACUACGAAUGAAAAGGAUAAGGGUAACAGUGGUGCUACGGUAUGAUGCGCGCAAAUAAAUGAAAAUGAUUUGUGAUUAUAGAAGUUAAAUGUUUAGUUUUUAAAUCUUCUAUAAUUCACGUAUAUGCAUUGACUAUCACAUGGAAAUGAUAAUUUCAAAAAUGCACGACCCACUGGGUACACUAGUAGUCUAGUACUCAGCCCACAAAUCUUUCCAAUCUCUUCAGGUUAGUAAGAUGGUGAAGAUGGAAGCAGCUGCGACGGGUUGGCCGCAAUAUUUUGAAAUAGCUAAUAUAUUUGAAAGUAUGUUAUAUAUUUUGAGUAUGUAAAAUGCUAGUCAAAGAUUAUAUAUAUAAUAUAUGAUAUUAUUAUUUCUUUGCACA